AUGAUCCUCACUGGAGAGAGCCUGGUGACCUUGCUGCAAGCGAGGUGAGCCCGGCCACCGAAGGGGCAAGCCCACAACGCCGCGAUCAGGUCGCAGCGAGGGGUCAAUCUCUCAGGUAAAGCGGACAGAGAGGGCAGC
rnacentral:ncRNA from 2 species